rnacentral:rRNA from 1 species
CCUACGGGCGGCAGCAGUGGGGAAUAUUGCACAAUGGGCGCAAGCCUGAUGCAGCCAUGCCGCGUGUGUGAAGAAGGCCUUCGGGUUGUAAAGCACUUUCAGCGGGGAGGAAGGCGGUGAGGUUAAUAACCUCAUCGAUUGACGUUACCCGCAGAAGAAGCACCGGCUAACUCCGUGCCAGCAGCCGCGGUAAUACGGAGGGUGCAAGCGUUAAUCGGAAUUACUGGGCGUAAAGCGCACGCAGGCGGUCUGUCGAGUCGGAUGUGAAAUCCCCGGGCUCAACCUGGGAACUGCAUUCGAAACUGGCAGGCUAGAGUCUUGUAGAGGGGGGUAGAAUUCCAGGUGUAGCGGUGAAAUGCGUAGAGAUCUGGAGGAAUACCGGUGGCGAAGGCGGCCCCCUGGACAAAGACUGACGCUCAGGUGCGAAAGCGUGGGGAGCAAACAGGAUUAGAUACCCCUAGUAGUC